AAGUCGAACGAUGAAGCCNAACUUGCUGGGUGGAUUAGUGGCGAACGGGUGAGUAACACGUGAGUAACCUGCCCUUAACUCUGGGAUAAGCCUGGGAAACUGGGUCUAAUACCGGAUAGGAGCGUCCACCGCAUGGUGGGUGUUGGAAAGAUUUAUCGGUUUUGGAUGGACUCGCGGCCUAUCAGCUUGUUGGUGAGGUAAUGGCUCACCAAGGCGACGACGGGUAGCCGGCCUGAGAGGGUGACCGGCCACACUGGGACUGAGACACGGCCCAGACUCCUACGGGAGGCAGCAGUGGGGAAUAUUGCACAAUGGGCGAAAGCCUGAUGCAGCGACGCCGCGUGAGGGAUGACGGCCUUCGGGUUGUAAACCUCUUUCAGUAGGGAAGAAGCGAAAGUGACGGUACCUGCAGAAGAAGCACCGGCUAACUACGUGCCAGCAGCCGCGGUAAUACGUAGGGUGCGAGCGUUAUCCGGAAUUAUUGGGCGUAAAGAGCUCGUAGGCGGUUUGUCGCGUCUGUCGUGAAAGUCCGGGGCUUAACCCCGGAUCUGCGGUGGGUACGGGCAGACUAGAGUGCAGUAGGGGAGACUGGAAUUCCUGGUGUAGCGGUGGAAUGCGCA
rnacentral:rRNA from 1 species